rnacentral:lncRNA from 1 species
GUAAAAUCCAACAGUGUUGGGGGGAGAGGGGUCAUUUCUCUUGAGUCAGCCACCUGGGAGGUGAGUGUUCUCGUUGCUGUCUCUCCUGGGUGAGCUCCAGCUCCCGCCAUGGGCCUGGUGACCACAGACUUGGGCUUCUUCUGAUCUUUUCUUCCUGAGGGAGAGGGUACAUUGCAAGGACGAAAAGUUGAAACUGCCCUUUUUAUUGUUUUGUUUUGGUUUUUGUUUGUUUUCUUGAGACAGGGUCUCGUUAUCACGCUCAGGCUGCAGGUGCCCGUUUAGACACCUGCUUGGGCUUCCCCAGACUCCCGCUGUGUGCUGUCUACACCCGACCUGCAGCCUUCUCUACCUGAGAUGCACAAAGAAACCCAGACAGGACCAGUUGGCCCUGUGUGCUGUGUGCCGCCUCCUGACCGGCCUGUGUGGCACAGCCAGUGCAGCUCCC